GGCUCGGUGGCGCAUGGCUGCGCAUCUACUGUUGUUAAUUUGGAAAAAGCCUCAUGCAGAAGAACCCUGUUCGAUUCGGGGCCGGGCCA